rnacentral:rRNA from 1 species
AGACGUCUACAUUAGACUACCCGGUAGUCCCAGCCGUAAACUAUGCUCGCUAGGUGUCAGGCAUGGCGCGACCGUGUCUGGUGCCGCAGGGAAGCCGUGAAGCGAGCCACCGUGGGAAGUACGGCCGCAAGGCUAGAAACUUAAAGGAAUUGGCGGGGAGCACCACAACGGGUGGAGCCUGCGGUUUAAUUGGACUCAACGCCGGGAAGCUCACCGGAUAAGACAGCGGAAUGAUUGCCGGGCUGAAGACUCUGCAUGACUAGCUG